GGACCCCCAGGUGUGAGGGAAAGAGGGAGAGAGGGGGGAGGUGAGUGUGCAACGGGGUCCAGGUGUGCAAUGGGAUCUCAGUGUGCAACAGGAUCCAGGUGUGUAACGGGAUCCGUGUGUGCCAAGGGAUCCGAGUGUGCCACGGGAUCUGGACUUGAGACUGUGAAAGGAUCCGAGUGUGCAACGGGAUCUGAGUGUGCAACGGGAUCCGAGUGUGCAACGGGAUCUGGACAUGGGAAUGUGAUGGGAUCCAAGUGUGCAACGGGAUCCGAGUGUGCAACGGGAUCUGGACAAGGGAAUGUAACAGGAUCUGAGUGUGCAAUGGGAUCUGAGUGUGCAAUGGUAUCCGAAUGUGUAACAAGAUCCCAGUGUGCAACGGGAUCCGAGUGUGCAACAGGAUCUGGACUUAAGACUGUGAAAGGAUCCGAGUGUGCAACGAGAUCUGGGUGUUCAAAGGGAUCUGAGUGUGCAACAGGAUCUGGACACGGGAAUGUAACAGGAUGUGAGUGUGCAAUGGGAUCUGAAUGUGUAACAAGAUCCCAGUGUGCAACGGGAUCCAAGUGUGCAAAGGGAUCCGAGUGUGCAACGGGACCUGGAUGUGGGAAUGUAACGGGAUCCAGGUGUGCAACAGGAUCCGAGUGUGCAACAGGAUCUGAACUUAAGACUGUGAAAGGAUCCGAGUGUGCAACGAGAUCUGGGUGUGCAACGGGAUCCCACUGUGCAACAGGAUCUGUGUGCAAAAGGACCCGGAUAUGGGAGUGUGAGAGGAUCUGAGUGUGCAACAGGAUCCAAGUGUGCAACAGGACCCGAGUGCACCCUGGCACCCGAUUGUGCAAGGGAACCUGGGCGUGCAAGGGGAUUUGGGGGCGCGCGGGUGUGCGGCGGGUGUGCGCUGAGUGUGCAACGGGACGUGGACAGCGGGCGCCGGGACGUGGACGUGGGCAUCCGGUGGGACGUGAGCGUGCAACGGGAGCUGAGUGUGCAACAGGAGAUGGACCUGGGCGCCCGGCGGGAUCUGAGCGUGCAACAGCAGCAGCGCAAGCUGAGCGUGCAACAGCUGGAGGCGCAGCGGCGGCUGAGCGUGCAACAGGAGCUGGGCGUGCAACGGGAGGUGGAGAUCCAGAGGAAGCUGAGCGUGCAACAGGAGCUGGGCGUGCAACGGCAGCUGGAGCUGGGCGUGCAAUGGGAGCCGGGUGUGCAACGGGAGCUGGGUGUGCAACGGGACGUGGAGAUGGGCGUGCAACCAGAGCUGGGCGUGCAAGGAGCGCCCGGCACGCUGUGGGACGUGGAGAUGGGCGUGCAACCGGAGAUGGGCGUGCAAGGACACGUGGGCGUGCAACAGGAGCUGCCGGACGUGGACAUGAGCGUGCAAUGGGAGCCGGGCGUGCAAGGGGAGCUCCUGGGCGUGCAACAGGCGGCGGAGGCGGGCGUGCAACAGGACGUGAUUGUGCAAGAGGCGAUGAUUGUGCAAGAGGCGAUGAUUGUGCAACGAGACGCGAACGUGGCGCCGGACCCGGGCGUGCAAGAGGCGCCGAGUGUGCAACGGGAGGAGCCCCUGGGCGUGCAAGGGGACGUGG
rnacentral:lncRNA from 1 species